rnacentral:Y_RNA from 14 species
UAUUGAGACCAGUAGUGUUUACAACUACUUGAUCACAACCAAUUACAGAUUUCUUUGUUUGUUCUUCACUCCCACUGCUCCACUUAAUAAGAA